AUACAGAGGGUGCAAGCGUUAAUCGGAAUUACUGGGCGUAAAGGGCGCGUAGGCGGCAAAGUAGGUCAAAGGUGAAAUCCCCGGGCUCAACCUGGGAACUGCAUUCAAAACUGUUUAACUAGAGUAUGGUAGAGGGAAGUGGAAUUCCAGGUGUAGCGGUGAAAUGCGUAGAUAUCUGGAGGAACAUCAGUGGCGAAGGCGACUUCCUGGAUCAAUACUGACGCUGAGGUGCGAAAGCGUGGGGAGCAAACAGGAUUAGAUACCCCAGUAGUCC
rnacentral:rRNA from 1 species